AUUGAACGCUGGCGGCAGGCCUAACACAUGCAAGUCGAGCGGUAACAGGUCCUUCGGGAUGCUGACGAGCGGCGGACGGGUGAGUAAUGCAUAGGAAUCUGCCCGGUAGUGGGGGAUAACCUGGGGAAACCCAGGCUAAUACCGCAUACGUCCUACGGGAGAAAGGGGGCUUUGGCUCCCGCUAUUGGAUGAGCCUAUGUCGGAUUAGCUAGUUGGUGAGGUAAUGGCUCACCAAGGCCGCGAUCCGUAGCUGGUCUGAGAGGAUGAUCAGCCACAUCGGGACUGAGACACGGCCCGAACUCCUACGGGAGGCAGCAGUGGGGAAUAUUGGACAAUGGGCGAAAGCCUGAUCCAGCCAUGCCGCGUGUGUGAAGAAGGCCCUCGGGUUGUAAAGCACUUUCAGCGAGGAAGAACGCCUAGGGGUUAAUACCCCCUAGGAAAGACAUCACUCGCAGAAGAAGCACCGGCUAACUCCGUGCCAGCAGCCGCGGUAAUACGGAGGGUGCAAGCGUUAAUCGGAAUUACUGGGCGUAAAGCGCGCGUAGGUGGCUUGAUAAGCCGGUUGUGAAAGCCCCGGGCUCAACCUGGGAACGGCAUCCGGAACUGUCAAGCUAGAGUGCAGGAGAGGAAGGUAGAAUUCCCGGUGUAGCGGUGAAAUGCGUAGAGAUCGGGAGGAAUACCAGUGGCGAAGGCGGCCUUCUGGACUGACACUGACACUGAGGUGCGAAAGCGUGGGUAGCAAACA
rnacentral:rRNA from 1 species